CGGCGAGUGAGAGGGAGAGCCCAAGAUUGAAAGCUGGCGUCUUCGGCGUCCGCAUUGUAAUCUCAAGAAGUGUUUUCCGCUUCGGACCAAGCCUAAGUCCCCUGGAAAGGGGCAUCAUAGAGGGUGAUAAUCCCGUACAUGGCUUGGAGCGCCCGAGGCUUUGUGAUACGCUUUCUAAGAGUCGAGUUGUUUGGGAAUGCAGCUCAAAAUGGGUGGUAAAUUCCAUCUAAAGCUAAAUAUUGGGGAGAGACCGAUAGCGAACAAGUACCGUGAGGGAAAGAUGAAAAGCACUUUGGAAAGAGAGUUAAACAGUACGUGAAAUUGUCGAAAGGGAAGCGCUUGAAGUUAGACAUGCUUGCCGGGAUUCAGCCUUGCUUUUGCUUGGUGCAUUUCCCGGUGUGCAGGCCAGCAUCAGUUUUGUUUGCCGGAUAAGGGUGAGAGGAAUGUGGCCCCUCGGGGUGUUAUAGCCUCUCACUGGAUACGGCGGAUGGGACUGAGGACCGCAGUGUGCCUUUAUGGCGGGCCUUCGGGCACCUUCACACUUAGGAUGCUGGCGUAAUGGCUUUAAGCGACCCGUCUUG
rnacentral:rRNA from 1 species